rnacentral:lncRNA from 7 species
CACAUGACUGGCUACAAACAUACCACAAGUCUCCAGGGCUUUGCUUUAGGAAGGCUCAGGCUGAUAUUACUCAUGCUUUUCUUUUCUUUUUUUUUUUCCCCAAAGCCCAGACUCGGAGAUGUUUCACUCUGUGUAAGAUGCAUCAAGCCUACCAGUCCGUUUUACCUUGUAGCAGUAAAUAUCUUCAGCUAAAAUGGGACAAAGCAAAGUACGAAGAGCACAGGAAAAGGAAAUCGUGGCAUUGCUGCAAUCCCUGCAGAAGCCCAGCCAGAGAGCUCUCUCUAAAUCCUCCCACUCUACUCCCCAUUGCCACCAUUUACUCCACGUGGUUUCUUCAGCUCAAGACAACUCAAAGCUUAUUCCUCCUCCCCAGAUCCAGGCAGCAAAACCCUCAGUGGACACAAGUGCCCAUGCAGCAUACAGCCACCCUCAUCUGAAGUUGGGGAAGCUGAAAGUGUUGUAUCGGGUGUUUCACUUCGCACUAUCAGGCUUACCUUCAUUAUCUCCUCUCAAGGAAAACAAAGAGACUACCAGAUGGCCAAAAAUUUCAUUAUUUUCUCCCUACCAGGGACUGCUGUGACAGGGCUAUCAGGAACCGUGGGUAGCAUCCUCCCAGCUAUACAUUAUUUUACUUUUUUUUACUACCGAUUGAAUCAAACUGCUUCAGAUUGACAAGCAAUAAAGCAUUCGAGUAUCCUUUUAAAAGGUACUUCUGCACAAGCAUG